rnacentral:rRNA from 1 species
UGUGUGUGUUAGUGGAAGCGUCUGGAAAGGCGCGCGAUACAGGGUGACAGCCCCGUACACAAAAAUGCACAUACUGUGAGCUCGAUGAGUAGGGCGGGACACGUGGUAUCCUGUCUGAAUAUGGGGGGACCAUCCUCCAAGGCUAAAUACUCCUGACUGACCGAUAGUGAACCAGUACCGUGAGGGAAAGGCGAAAAGAACCCCGGCGAGGGGAGUGAAAAAGAACCUGAAACCGUGUACGUACAAGCAGUGGGAGCACGCUUAGGCGUGUGACUGCGUACCUUUUGUAUAAUGGGUCAGCGACUUAUAUUCUGUAGCAAGGUUAACCGAAUAGGGGAGCCGAAGGGAAACCGAGUCUUAACUGGGCGUUAAGUUGCAGGGUAUAGACCCGAAACCCGGUGAUCUAGCCAUGGGCAGGUUGAAGGUUGGGUAACACUAACUGGAGGACCGAACCGACUAAUGUUGAAAAAUUAGCGGAUGACUUGUGGCUGGGGGUGAAAGGCCAAUCAAACCGGGAGAUAGCUGGUUCUCCCCGAAAGCUAUUUAGGUAGCGCCUCGUGAAUUCAUCUCCGGGGGUAGAGCACUGUUUCGGCAAGGGGGUCAUCCCGACUUACCAACCCGAUGCAAACUGCGAAUACCGGAGAAUGUUAUCACGGGAGACACACGGCGGGUGCUAACGUCCGUCGUGAAGAGGGAAACAACCCAGACCGCCAGCUAAGGUCCCAAAGUCAUGGUUAAGUGGGAAACGAUGUGGGAAGGCCCAGACAGCCAGGAUGUUGGCUUAGAAGCAGCCAUCAUUUAAAGAAAGCGUAAUAGCUCACUGGUCGAGUCGGCCUGCGCGGAAGAUGUAACGGGGCUAAACCAUGCACCGAAGCUGCGGCAGCGACGCUGAUGCGUUGUUGGGUAGGGGAGCGUUCUGUAAGCCUGUGAAGGUGUGCUGUGAGGCAUGCUGGAGGUAUCAGAAGUGCGAAUGCUGACAUAAGUAACGAUAAAGCGGGUGAAAAGCCCGCUCGCCGGAAGACCAAGGGUUCCUGUCCAACGUUAAUCGGGGCAGGGUGAGUCGACCCCUAAGGCGAGGCCGAAAGGCGUAGUCGAUGGGAAACAGGUUAAUAUUCCUGUACUUGGUGUUACUGCGAAGGGGGGACGGAGAAGGCUAUGUUGGCCGGGCGACGGUUGUCCCGGUUUAAGCGUGUAGGCUGGUUUUCCAGGCAAAUCCGGAAAAUCAAGGCUGAGGCGUGAUGACGAGGCACUACGGUGCUGAAGCAACAAAUGCCCUGCUUCCAGGAAAAGCCUCUAAGCAUCAGGUAACAUCAAAUCGUACCCCAAACCGACACAGGUGGUCAGGUAGAGAAUACCAAGGCGCUUGAGAGAACUCGGGUGAAGGAACUAGGCAAAAUGGUGCCGUAACUUCGGGAGAAGGCACGCUGAUAUGUAGGUGAAGUCCCUCGCGGAUGGAGCUGAAAUCAGUCGAAGA